AUGUGGGCCUCCUUCUUCGUGCUCUUCAUAUCCUUCUACAAAGUAGUUAUUCAAAGCAAAAAUAAUAUACCCUUCCUACAAAGGCGGCAUUCAGCAGGCAUGCAUAUAUUUAGAUCGCUGUGCAAACAAUUACCGACUUUUGUCCGAGGCAGGAGAAUGGUACCCUGUGCUGCAGAGGGGGGAUGGACAAAGACAUCCCAAGGCAGCCUGCAGCGAGGAAUUGGCCAGGAGAUGGAUCUCAGGGGCAGAUUCAGCCUUGGUGUAAGAAACGUGGUAUUAAUUAAAUGGCAAAGCUCUCACAAGCCUGAUCUGGAGGACUGGCAGCUGCAAGAUGCCAGUGACCAUUCCGAAACUGAAGUGAAGAAAUCCAGCAUACCAUCAGUUGCUGAGCCAUCAGAGGACCAGAGACCUAUAGUUGAAUUCCCACCAUUACUGAAUGACUUCCCACCACUCGAGACAUUGUUGCCUGAACCCUCACAGGCUGGGCUAUCAGCACCUGUAGUCAAUCCAACAUAUGAAAUAUCAGAGCAGCCAAUGGUGUAUGAAGACCCCUGUGAAGUCUCUGUUAAGUACAUGGAGAAACAUAAUAUUCAGCAGAUAUUAGAGGAGAUCAUACUAAAACUGCUGUACGAGAAGCCUGAUGACCCCUUGCAGUUCAUAUUGCUGCAGAUGGGAGGAGGAGGAGGACAGGGCAGGAGCGGAAUGCCCAUGGUACAAGUGCUCACAUGUGCCCUUAAGGGAGAGGGAAGAGAGGUGCAGUCUAUGAUAAAUGCCCGGCAGGCAGAAACGGAGGGAAUAUUGGAUGAGAGCAAAGAUAGAGAGGAGUUUCUGGAAUAAAUUCUGUGCACUCCUUUGGGCCCCUACUGACCUUGCUAUUGUGGUGUUCCAUGUGGCCUUCGCAGCAUCCUGCUUUUGCAACCAGUGGAAGUAACUUUGGAAAUGUCUGCUAGUAUCUCUGUUUCUUGAUUUUUCAUGUGAUUGUGCUUCCCCUUUAGUAUAAAUCCUGCAAUCUAGUGUCUUUAUGGACACAAACUCAAAUCUGAAAGUGCAUGAGCCUGCAUGCACAUAUGGCACAUUUUGAAAAGGCUGUUCUCAUGAAAUCUUGUAUGGUCUAUCCACAGCUCCCACGUGUAGGCCACCACUAAAUUAGACUUUUCUGUGCAGAGAAACCUCACAGCACAGACAAUACAAGUGCAAAAGCAAGUAGAAUUAAAAAGCAGCCCUGGACAACCCACAGUCCUCACUUUUUCAUGCUGCACUGGUGGCUUACUGUCUCAAACUAUGCAGUAUCACCAAUGCCCAUCUAACACUUUGAAGUCUGUGCUGGGAGAGGCUCAGCCAGUGUUUUUUCUGCUGUCUCAAAGCUCCUCUGAUGCAAGGAGCCAUCUCUUUGUUGCUUCCACACACUGUCAGUAGCUGUCUCACUCUUAACUAUCCCUGCUGGGUUCAGAUCACUCUGUUUUUGGUGCUGCCCUGCCUGUAUCAUUGCAAGUACAGUGUGUAUUUUGAUUAAAAGAACAGUAAAGCAACAGUUGCCUGCACGCUCUGUGGCUUCAGAAGGCACUGUCACUCGGGAAUGUGAGAGGUGAAUAAAACUAAACAAACCAAAGACA
rnacentral:lncRNA from 1 species